UCCAUAUACAAUUAGAAAGAGAGUGGAAAAAAGAAGUGCAAGAAGCUUUGCAUAAGGGUAAACUGAGAAACACACAUCCACCACAUAUGCAAUCCUUUUCUUCAGUGGAACCUCCUCCUUUAUGGUAUAUUUCCUCUUCAAGAGAUCAAUUAUUCUCGGAAGAUAGUCAAGAUAUCUGUACAAUGCAAAAGGAAUAACGAGGAUAAACACCACCAUGUACAGAGCAACUGUUCUGCUGUCGGCAUUACCAAAAUACACAAAUGAAUUAACUUCUUCAAGCUCCAUGAUACCAGCGCUGGCAAGAUCAACAUGGCUACAAGCUCUACGAAGACUACUAUUCUCCUCCUG
rnacentral:misc_RNA from 1 species